UCUGAGAGGACGACCAGCCACACUGGAACUGAGACACGGUCCAGACUCCUACGGGAGGCAGCAGUGGGGAAUUUUGGACAAUGGGCGAAAGCCUGAUCCAGCAAUGCCGCGUGCAGGAUGAAGGCCUUCGGGUUGUAAACUGCUUUUGUACGGAACGAAACGGUCUGCCCUAAUACGGCGGGCUAAUGACUGUACCGUAAGAAUAAGCACCGGCUAACUACGUGCCAGCAGCCGCGGUAAUACGUAGGGUGCGAGCGUUAAUCGGAAUUACUGGGCGUAAAGCGUGCGCAGGCGGUUAUAUAAGACAGAUGUGAAAUCCCCGGGCUCAACCUGGGACCUGCAUUUUGUGACUGUAUAGCUAGAGUACGGUAGAGGGGGAUGGAAUUCCGCGUGUAGCAGUGAAAUGCGUAGA
rnacentral:rRNA from 1 species